rnacentral:lncRNA from 1 species
UCAUGUGGUUGUCUUCCACAGUCGGUACAUGGGGAGCAUGAUACUUCCAAUAGUGUGAGUUCCAAUAGUGUGAGUUCCAAUAGUGUGAGUUCCAAUAGUGAGAGUUCCAAUAGUGAGAGUUCCAAUAGUGUGAGUUCCAAUAGUGAGAGUUCCAAUAGUGAGAGUUCCAAUAGUGUGAGUUCCAGUAGUGUGAGUUCCAGUAGUGUGAGUUCCAAUAGUGAGAGUUCCAAUAGUGUGAGUUCCAAUAGUGUGAGUUCCAAUAGUGAGAGUUCCAAUAGUGAGAGUUCCAAUAGUGAGAGUUCCAAUAGUGUGAGUUCCAAUAGUGGGAGUUCAAAUAGUGAAAGUUCCAAUAGUGAGAGUUCCAAUAGUGAGAGUUCCAAUAGUGUGAGUUCCAAUAGUGUGAGUUCUAAUAGUGUGAGUUCCAAUAGUGUGAGUUCCAAUAGUGUGAGUUCCAACAGUGUGAGUUCCAACAGUGUGAGUUCCAAUAGUGAGAGUUCCAAUAGUGAGAGUUCCAAUAGUGAGAGUUCCAAUAGUGUGAGUUCCAAUAGUGAGAGUUCCAAUAGUGAGAGUUCCAAUAGUGAGAGUUCCAAUAGUGUGAGUUCCAAUAGUGGGAGUUCAAAUAGUGUGAGUUCCAAUAGUGAGAGUUCCAAUAGUGAGAGUUCAAAUAGUGUGAGUUCCAAUAGUGUGAGUUCCAAUAGUGUGAGUUCCAAUAGUGUGAGUUCCAAUAGUGAGAGUUCCAAUAGUGAGAGUUCCAGUAGUGUGAGUUCCAGUAGUGUGAGUUCCAAUAGUGUGAGUUCCAAUAGUGUGAGUUCCAAUAGUGUGAGUUCCAAUAGUGAGAGUUCCAAUAGUGAGAGUUCCAAUAGUGUGAGUUCCAGUAGUGUGAGUUCCAGUAGUGUGAGUUCCAAUAGUGUGAGUUCCAAUAGUGUGAGUUCCAAUAGUGUGAGUUCCAAUAGUGAGAGUUCCAAUAGUGAGAGUUCCAAUAGUGAGAGUUCCAAUAGUGAGAGUUCCAAUAGUGAGAGUUCCAAUAGUGUGAGUUCCAAUAGUGUGAGUUCCAACAGUGUGAGUUCCAACAGUGUGCGUUCCAAUAGUGUGAGUUCCAACAGUGUGAGUUCCAACAGUGUGAGUUCCAACAGUGUGCGUUCCAAAAGUGUGCGUUCCAAUAGUGUGCGUUCCAAUAGUGUGAGUUCCAACAGUGUGAGUUCCAACAGUGUGAGUUCCAACAGUGUGAGUUCCAACAGUGUGAGUUCCAACAGUGUGAGUUCCAAUAGUGUGAGUUCCAAUAGUGUGAGUUCCAAUAGUGUGAGUUCCAGUAGUGUGAGUUCCAGUAGUGUGAGUUCCAAUAGUGUGAGUUCCAAUAGUGUGAGUUCCAAUAGUGUGAGUUCCAAUAGUGAGAGUUCCAAUAGUGAGAGUUCCAAUAGUGAGAGUUCCAAUAGUGAGAGUUCCAAUAGUGUGAGUUCCAAUAGUGUGAGUUCCAAUAGUGAGAGUUCCAAUAGUGAGAGUUCCAAUAGUGAGAGUUCCAAUAGUGUGAGUUCCAAUAGUGUGAGUUCAAAUAGUGUGAGUUCCAAUAGUGAGAGUUCCAAUAGUGAGAGUUCCAAUAGUGUGAGUUCCAAUAGUGUGAGUUCCAACAGUGUGAGUUCCAACAGUGUGCGUUCCAAUAGUGUGCGUUCCAAUAGUGUGAGUUCCAACAGUGUGAGUUCCAACAGUGUGAGUUCCAACAGUGUGCGUUCCAAAAGUGUGCGUUCCAAUAGUGUGCGUUCCAGUAGUGUGAGUUCCAACAGUGUGAGUUCCAACAGUGUGAGUUCCAACAGUGUGAGUUCCAACAGUGUGAGUUCCAACAGUGUGAGUUCCAAUAGUGUGAGUUCCAAUAGUGUGAGUUCCAACAGUGUGAGUUCCCACAGUGUGAGUUCCAAUAGUGUGCGUUCCAAUAGUGUGCAUUCCAAUAGUGGGAGUUCCAAUAGUGUGCGUUCCAAUAGUGUGCGUUCCAAUAGUGUGCGUUCCAAUAGUGUGCGUUCCAAUAGUGUGCAUUCCAAUAGUGUGCGUUCCAAUAGUGUGCGUUCCAAUAGUGUGCGUUCCAAUAGUGGGCGUUCCAAUAGUGGGCGUUCCAAUAGUGGGCGUUCCAAUAGUGGGAGUUCCAAAAGUGGGAGUUCCAAUAGUGGGAGUUGUGGUUAUUUCUAG